rnacentral:rRNA from 1 species
AUACAGAGGGUGCGAGCGUUAAUCGGAAUUACAGGGCGUAAAGCGCGCGUAGGCGGAUUGAUCAGUCAGGGGUGAAAUCCCGGAGCUUAACUCCGGAACUGCCUUUGAUACUGUCAAUCUUGAGUUCGAGAGAGGUGAGUGGAAUUCCUAGUGUAGAGGUGAAAUUCGUAGAUAUUAGGGAGAACACCAGUGGCGAAGGCGGCUCACUGGCUCGAUACUGACGCUGAGGUGCGAAAGCGUGGGGAGCAAACAGGAUUAGAUACCCUAGUAGUCC